UUUCUUUCUUUCUUUCUUUUUUCAAUGAACUUCAUAUUUUUAAAGCAGGAGUCUAAAGGAGAAAUCAGAGUGUAAUUGGAAUAUUGUGCUGCAUUUUCUUUCCUGUGACUCUGUGUCUGUUUAGGUCAUCAGCUGCACCCUCAGUAUUAUUGUUGAUGAGAGCAGAGACACCAGGGGUGCAAAAUAUUUCUGUACCAAACAGAAUUCCCGAAUUAGGUGUGUAUACAGUCUCAACUCUGUUAACCUUUGGUUCUGCAUGGGGCAUCUUUAGUUCAUCUUGUAGACAAGACAGAUUGAAAAGGAGCCUCAAACUAAGGAGUAUGUUACAGCUAGACCUGCGAUAUUGCCAUGCCUGAAGAACAUGUGGUUGUGUAUUUAUUGGUGCAGGGAGUCACCUGUUUGUACAGCUACUUGAGACCCACAAGCCCAUGAGGAUGAAGGAACUGCAACUGUUGCUGAAUUAUGCUUCUUUCCACAGAUGAAGUGAUAAUAAGUAGAUGAGAGAAUAGAUGUUUCUGGUAUAAUUGAGAAUCUGAACAUCCAUUUCAUUGUAGUACUGUGUGCAGGAGGUACAGCAAUUGGCAAUUAUGUGAGUAAAACAGCACUGUUGCUUAGACAGUUAUUUCUCCAAUAUGCCUGAAUAUUUUUUCAUUUAUAAACCUAGUGUUAUUUUAUGGAGCAGAUGACCUAAGGAACAGAAGUUUGCAGAUCUUAAAACCUUCUGCACUAUGACUUGGCAGCUGAACCAGAAUGGCAAAUUCAGAUUUCACAGAAACCCCUUGGCUGUGGCGAUCUCAUCGCUCCAGAAAGCAUGAUGGCAGCUGUGCAUUCUCAGCAGCAGCAGUUCCCUGGAUUCUGAUUUCCUGGAUGCAUGGAAAGCAGCUCUGUAUAACUUCAAGCCCUUUCUUCUGAGACCCAACAAUGAAUCAUGGCUUCUAUUAAAGUAAAGAGUGUCUGCAUGCAGGGAUCUUUGAAGAGGUGUUCUGAGAUCCACAGCCUACGCAAGAGUGUGUAAGAGACUGCAAUAAAGGAAACUAUAAUGAUUUUCCUGUUCUUGUGUUCUCUCCCAGUUGAGCACCUCAAAGCUGAAUGCUGCUACUCACUUGAACCAGCCUUUGCCAUCCUGGCCUUGAAGAGUUUGGGCCAUAGAAGAGGAAAGUACAGUAACUGUCCUGCUUUCUGAUAGCUGGCACUUAUUCUUGAGCUUGUCAACACCAUUUCUUCUAGGCCAAAGAGAAGAUGCCAAAACAGUGCUUGACAAAGGAAAAUAUUGAACUGUGGAGAGAGGAGACCAGCACAGUGGACUCUGCUUUUGCUCUAGAGCUUACGGGUGACUUAUUUCUCUGGCCAGAAAGAAAGAAACUGUAGAUUUCUCUCAUAGCUGACUAAAGUAUUGGCAAAUGGCUGCAUCUUCUAAGCAUGUCUGAGGGGUGAAGUAACCUUAAGUUUCCCUUGCUUUUGUUGUAUAAACAGCUUUAGUAUUGAUAUUAGCAGUUUGCACUUGAGCAAUGUCAUUGUCAUAUGAUGUGUGAGUCAUUCAUAGACAAUCAAAAAAGAGUUACCCAGGUCAUGCUUUUGGCCAUCUUAAGCCAGAGAUUGUAUUUCCCUUGGGCAGGCAACCAAAGGGAAAACAGAGACCAAAAGAGCUGGAAUUCAGUGAACUUGAGUAUUUGCUAUAACCUGGGCUAGGAGAAAAGUGAAGGCACAACAAAGGAGCUGCUAGGUGAAGACAAUCAUGCUCACUCUUAAUAGUGGUGUUGGCACAUUUUCAGACAGUCUUCAGUGUACCAUGUGGUUGGCAUGGCAUUUGUAUUAGAGUGGCAAGUUGCUUCUGUGGAAGUUAUGCACUCCUUUUGCUAUUGAUUACAUGGAAGUGUGGUAUGUAAUACAGCCUAACUUUCAGGUUUAAUACAUGCAAGUUCUGGACCAGAGUAUUACUUGGGGUAAAUCAUUGUGGUUUCUAUUGCUUCAGUUGAAUCUUGUUUGAUUUCUGCCUGAUGUGGAGCUGCUUUUUGUGACACUUCAUUUUGUGAAUAGCAGGUACUUGGAAUAAUGCUAGCUGAGCCUUUUUUCUUUUUCUCCAUUUUUUAUUUCACUGGAGAGCUGAAAUAUUUUUACAGGCUUGUUAGCACUCUUACAAACAGCAAACUACUGUGUAUGAGGAGGCUGUUGUUGUUGCCAGCUCCAUGUUUUUAUGACAAAUCUUGUGAUGUUUUGUUUUUCCUAAGAACCUCAGGUCUUGCAUUUCAUCAGAAUCUCUGUUUUCAUUUAAAAAAAUAAAAAUAAAAAAUUCCAGUUUGAUGUUGGCAUCAAAUGAGAGAAAAACUUGAAAAUGUUUGCAGCUUCAUCAUGAUGGCAAAAAAAAAACCAAACCUAAAUGCAUACAGGAACCCCCAAAUAUAGUAUUUUGCUUUAGAAAAGCAAACAAAAAAUCCCAAACCACCAAGC
ensembl:lncRNA